CUCUUGUCUGUAUUAUGCUGCACAUUUGACUUGGAAGACAAAAUAUGAAGACAGUUUUUAUAACAUUAAACCGGAAUUUAAUUUUGAAACUGAGCAUGGAUCGUUUAUAUAUAAACAAAGGGAACAUUGAGGGAAAUUUUGUAACCCUACCCAACUACCCUAAUUAGGAAGGAGUAGAAUGGCUCAAGGCAACACAAUGCCAUGUUCUUUAGACCCUGUUCUGCUGACAGAUGAUCAGGCUGGCAUAUUUUGUUCCAAUUGAUGUUCCCCACCCCGUAUGUCUAUAUUAGAUCACCAGGCUAAGCCGCAGCCCAGCAAGAUGUCUGGGACCCACAACCAGAUGGGCACCCUUUCAGGAAAACCUAAACUCCUCAGGUCCCACUGAAUCUCCAGCCAGUCACGUGUGUGCAAUGAUAGCCCUGCUCUUGGAAAUUGAUCUCUAUGAAAUGGAGAAGCUAAAGACUAAUUUUUGCUUGGGAUGUUUAGAAGUACAUCUGAUGUUUUUUAAAUGGCAGACACUGAACCAAGGAUAAAAGUCAUGGUGUUGGGGGUCUCCACAUACCAGGUAGGUGACACACUUGCUUUUAAAACAGUGUGGUCUUGAGAACCUGGUCCCUCAAAUCUUCAUACUGUGAAGUUGCCUGUCCAUCUGAGAAGGUCAGCAGACUCUAGAGGGUACAUGGGUGAUCCUUUUUGGUUUAUGAUAGUGUCGGCCAUUGAUUAAGUUUCGUAGACUCUCCAUCUUAGCAGCAGGAGACACGUUUCGUUUUUCUUUGGACAGCUAAGGUGUGAUCUGUACCUCUCUUCUGUUCUGAUCUCUCAGCUUUAUUUUAUUGUGCUUUGUAACGAAUUCUACCCCAUCUGGGCAAAGGGAACAUCUAAGCCCCUAUGGAAGUAAAAUGCACUCACCAUAAAGGUCAUCCUUGGAAGAGAAAUAUCAACGAUGCCCAGUUCCUCAGGCAGCAUUUAACUUCAUUUGCAAUGAUCAGUCAGCCAUAGUUUUACCCAUGGUACCCAGUAAUUCAGAGUGAGAAGCCCCCACUUAGGCAAUGUAGGAUUUGACUGGCUCUAUAUCUUAUUUCUCUCCAUGUGGGAGAAUAUGUAGCUAUCUGAGUAUAUGAAAAUUAAUUUAGUCUAGAUUCAUAUUUUACACUUACUCAAAUAUUUAUUUGAACUCAUAAAAAGUUUAUUGACAUAACUUAGAAGGUGAAGAACUAAAAGACAUUCCAAAUAUUGACCAAAAUAGUGUGGGAAGGAGCUGAGAGAACUUCCAAUCAAAAUCACUGUUAUGCAGAGUGCCAUAACCCUCUCCGUAAAAUCAUAUCCUUCCUCAAAACCACACCUUCCAAGUGGUGAAUUCUUGAGCUGAUGUGCUCUGCAAGGUGCCAAACAUGAAGGAAGAGAUACAAAUGUACAAACAGGACAUUUCUGCUAGAGCCUCAGGCAUUCAGGAGGUUCAUCAUCUUCAUAGAAAUAUAUAAAAUGUUUUAGUGAGCUGUCUUCAUUUGAAUCCAUUCUCCCUCUUUAAUUCUUCACAUCAAGCCUGCAAAAGAAAAAACCAAAGGGAGUAUUGCUUUAGUUUUCAUGAGAUAUUUUUAGGGACAGCUUGUAAAUAAAUACGAUAGGUACAAAUCAAAAUUAAAGGCCUCAUUUGCACUUGGAAACUUCUUCUCUGGAGCCCAUGAAUGUAAAGUGAACUAAGAGUAGAAGGUGUGACCACCAACUUUGGCUCUGGUAAUUUAAGUAAUUCCAAACUAAAUUAGGAUGCCUUCCCCUGAAGGACUAGGGUAUAAUGCUAACCUUAUGACUUGCAAGACCUUUGGUGCCUGUGGUAAAUUUGCCAUCAUGGCUCCAGUUCUCCACCCCUCCCUAUAUCCAUCCCUAUUGCCAUGUGACUUUUUAGUUUCCUACCAUUGUGGGUGGGUAUAAUCCCUCAUAUCUGAGUUUGCCCAUGUGACUUGCUUCAGCCAACAGAAUGAGGCAGAAGUGAUGGUGUGCCAAUCCUGAGCCUAAGACUGAAGAGAUAGCACGUGUUUUUGUUUACUCUCUUGCACCUCUGCCAUUGCCAUAACCAGCGUAUGCCCAGGCUUGCCUGCUGAUCCCAGGAGAAGGAUGAAACAUAUGGAGCAGAGCCGCCCCAGCUAACGUGCCCCAACCAAGCCCCAUGUAGCGCAGAGCCCCCAGCUGGCACAGAUGCAUAGGUGAGCCAGCCUAGAUCAGCUAAGCCACAAACAUAUGAGCCAGAAUAAGAAAUGAUUUUGUUCUAAGCCAUUGGAUUUGGGGAUCAUUGCUUAUGCAGCAAUAGCUAAUUGAUAUGGUGCCAUUUCUUUUAAAAGCUCUUGUAACACAGGGAUUGUUGGGUGUUAUUUACACGUUUGUUUUCCAUUAUUCCUUGAUGUUAUUCCUUAUGUGAACGGGCUGGAUUGUUUCUAAGAAAUGGAAUGCUCACAUUUUUUUAUUACCAAUGACUGAAGAAAGAAAACUGCAGACUAGGAUCCCCCCUGCUGUGGCAGACACUAUGGCUUGGCUCUCCCCAUAUUCAUUCGCAACCACCUUCUCCCUUGUUUUUCCCUGCUACAAAGGCUGGUAGCCAAAUACUCAACUUUCUAGUCUCAGAAAGCUUGGAGUAGCUGUGGGACCCAGUUCUAGCCAAAGAGCCCUGAGGAGAUUCUACAGCAGAGGUAUUUUAGAAAGCUUUGCUUUCCUGCGUAUUUCUUUAGAGCUUACAAAGCCCGGAGUGUCAUUUAUAUGUUAUACAUGUUAACAUUUAUAGCAUCGCUGUGAUGCAGUUUGUGUCAUACUCAUUGCUGAGAUGAAAUACAUAGAGGUUCAAAGAGCAGAGAGAGUAGCUCAAGGUCUCCUAGCUGGCACAUAGAAAAGCUGGGAUCUGCACUCAGGUGUCCUGACUCGGGGGCUCCUUCCGCUCCACCAACAGGGAAGGUUCGGAUGGUUCUCGAGCCAGAGGGAAAGGUAGGAAGGUAUUCAUGAUGGCAAAACUGAAAACGUUAUCAACAGCAGUCAGCACAGACUUGCGUAUUUCUUUAGCAUUUGCUUUUUUUUAGAAACUCACUUUUCGGUCCAUGCCAGUCACCAAGAGGAAGUAAGAUACCAACUCCUUCCCAGUCCAGGAUUUCCGGGUGAAGUGUAUUUGUUCACCAGCAACUUCCCAGCCUCAUCCGGCCCCCAACACCAGUCUGUCUCUGACCGCUCUCCAUCACGUACCCUGCACCCCUGCACUCUGAGUUUGCUAGACACUUACUACUUCUGAAACAUGGUAAGAGCCUUCAGGCCUCUCCCCCUUUGCUUAUAACUUUUGACUAAAAUCCGCCCCCCACCAUGACUCUCCAUGUAACAGGCUGCAUUGUAAUUAUUUGCUUCUAUGUAUCAUCGCUCUCCUCUCAUAUCUUUCCUGCCACUAGGCUGUGGCCUUCUGAAGGGUAUGAAAAUGUCCUAUUCAUUUUUACAUCCUGCCGCCUAUGACGGCACCUGACGCUUCAAGCCUGAUGUGUCCUCAGAGGCCUGAGGCCUGAGGAUUGAUGAGUUGGACCACUGGAAAAGUGAGAACAGGACAAGAACUGGAGUUGGAGUUACAGCAAAACCCACAUUCUUCAACUUGAGGCAGCAGGAAUGAGCGAGGGGCCACACAAUAAACCAGGAGUGUGGAUUUGAUGUGCUACGUCCUCACAGUGCUGUCAAAUCUGCCCUAGGCCCCAGCCAUAGCCCCAUCGUGGACAGGGUGUGCUCAAGCCAUCUUACUGCUGUGGUCACUGUGCUGGGUGACAUAUGGCCAGUCUCUCUGGCUAAGUGAGAGGCCCAUGACAAGCUGCCCUUGAAGCUGAGACAUUCCUUGGGCUUCUCUGAACAGCAUGGAAGGAGUGAUGAGUCAUAGCAAAUUGUCACUAAAGCACGUCCUAUGAGGUGUGAUUUCUCUCCAAGAAGUGUCCAGACUAUGGAGCACCAUCUGCAACCCAGAAAUAGGAACCAUUUCUAUGACUGGCUUGAUAUGGACUUUGACCACCACAAAUCUGUCCUAGAUAGGUAAAAUUAUGGCUAUACUGAGAAAUAUAGGAUGAGCCAUUGCAAUGACCCUUCAGUGAUUGUUUAAAAGCCCUAAUAUGCCCCUCACAGCUGGGCUCAGCUCGUGGACCUCUCUGACUUUGAGACAGUUUGGGGAACAUAGGGAAACCUUGGUAUGUGCCAGGCACGCCACCGCUGACUUUAUAGUUACCUCGUUUCAUCUAGAAAGUGAGCCCGAUCCUUCCUUGUAGAAGGAGCCCGGCAGGAGGUGGUAAAUGGAAUAGAGGAGUCAUUGCAGUUGUCCUCCUGCAGACCACCCUGCCCCCUCAGCUUCCCCUCUCCCCCCAGCUCUCAGUAGAAUCUGAGAGGGCCCAGCAACCCUGGACACAGGACACUGCUGACAGCUAAGGUCACAUACGGUCAUUCCAGGAGUGCCAUGCCCCCAGAGGAUCAGAGUCUUCAUCCUUGGCCUUGUGGGACUCAGCGUGUUCUCAGAAUGCUUGUCUGUUACCGGAAUUCAAGAAUCCAGGAAUCCAGAGACCUGGGUCAGGGCUCAAAUUUGGAAAUGGGAACAAUGGGAAGGGAUCCAGAGCUAAAAUUGCCCAUGCUGUAAAUCACUUGUUUGUCAGGUUAUUGGAAUGCAAGUGAGUUGGGUGGUAUCCCGGGCCACACUGCUUUGCUGCCUAGACAACAGCUGUCAGCUAUUCUCCUGUGUCCUGUUCUCCUGUAGGGGACAUUUGUGAGAAUAAUGGGGAAUGUGAGGCACCUUGCUGAAAAGUCACUCUCCAGCUACCCCACACACUUUUAUUACCCAAAUCAAAAAGGACACGGAAGCCCCACUUCUAGUUUACUUUUGGGAAAAGCACCCUUUGGCUGGUGCAGGGAUGAUACACCAAAUCUCUCUCUUAUGUCGCCCUAAGUCUGGGCUGAGGAGCAUGUGAUGUUUGCGCCUUGCCAUUACCCAUUUAUAUAUAGCUGUGUUACUCAUAGUCACCGUGGCCCCACAUACAUCACUUAGGAAAUGGAGUCCACUCGACACUUGUCUGCAUUUGGUCCUUUAACCAGACACUUGGGGGCGGUGCAAUGAUUACUUCCUCCUACGUGGUGCUAAAUCAUAGAGCUGUAAAUACAAUGACACUCAAAAGUACUUGAGAGAAAGGCCGUGCCUCAUGUUCCAUCUGGUUCCAUAUGCAAUGGAGGACCAGGGCGAAUUUGCUGAAGUUUUGGAGUUUGUGAGAGGGCAUUCGUGGAGUCCUCUAGAGUUUACGAUGCACGUUCACACCCAUUGUCCCAUGUGAUCAUCAGGGCCGCACGGAGAGGAGGGCAGUAUAAGCCACAGCUGAGGCUCCUACGAAACCUCACACACUGAGGUCAGGGAGACGGAGCAUGCAGCCUGGAAUUGCACCUAGGGAACUCCAACCCCAGAACUCUCUCUUUUAGCCCAGCCACUCAUAAAGUAAGAGAAACAAAACUCUGAGUAAAAACAUUAAAAACUUUUUUCUUCAACUAUGAAACAUCCACUCAAACUGGCUUUUGUGCAUCAUGAAGCCUUCCAUGGCUAAAGGGAAAAUUGAAAUGUUUCUACCAAUAACUCAUAAAAGCAGGGAAGAUGAGAAAGGCUCAAACAGCAGGACAUUUUUUUUUUGUAAAAUUCUGCACCUGAAAUCCAGAAUCAAACAGUGUUAUGUGCUGGACGUGGCGAAUUUGAAUGACCUUAAGGAAAGGUCAAAUUGCAAGUCCAGGUCAAAUCUCAUUGAAAUAUAAGCUCAGAAGGGGUUUUUUAAUCCUAUUGUAUUGAGAGUUUGUUGUAUUGGCUAUCAAGUCAGAGUCAGGGGCUGGUGACUGAGAGAACUUUGAAUUUGGGGAGACCUUGGUGAACAAAGGGGCAUAAUUCAAGACCGGUUGCAACUGGCAGCUCCUGGUUUUGUGGUCAAUUUCUCUCCAUCCAUCAAAGCACAGGCCUCCCUCUUUCUCUUUUUUUUUUUUUUUUGAGGAAGAUUAGCCCUGAGCUAACAUCUGCUGCCGAUCCUCCUCUUUUUGCUGAGGAAGAUUGGCCCUGAGCUAACAUCCAUGCCCAUCUUCCUCUACUUUCUAUGUGGGACGCCUGCCACAGCAUGGCUUGACAAGCAGUGCCAUGUCCGCGCCUGGGAUCCAAAUGCAAACCGCGGGCCGCCGAGAAGCGGAACGUGCGAACUUAACCGCUGCACCACCGGGCUGGCCCCUAGGCCUCCCUGUUUCUCAAGGGGCCACUGACUUCACUGGAGAAACACUGACCCAAGACUUCCCUAGCAAAGCAGCGCUCAAGAAUACCCAGAGGUAGACAAAGUGGUAAACAAGUCGAGGAGACUGCUGUCUUAACCAAGAGGUUCUCAGAGUUUCCAAAGAUUGGGCAAAACCCUUCUGUGUUGUUUAGGCCUGAGUAUUCGAGGCCAAGAGACAAUGGUGCUUACAUCAGAAAUACCAGAAUCUUCAUAGAACCAUCUGGCAACGGUCUGUGGCAGCCAGGGGUUCUGGAACAUCCAAAUGGAAAACUAAUUUCUUAACAUAAAGUUAACAGAAACUAUGAAAUAAAUACAGGCCUCCCUGUCUGUCUGCAAUAAGCCAUCGUGAAAAGCAUAUUGUCAUGGGGAUCACCUUAGAGCUUAUUGACUUUGUUUUUACAGUUUAACAAUGAUGGUACCGAGUGGUCCAAAGACUCAGGAUUCAAGUAAAAAUCUGGCUUUUGAUGUACCAUCAGGCAAAAAUAGAACUAUAAAGCUUUAUCACCUUAUAAAAUAGUAAAACUAUUUUCAAAAAUGAAUGCAACUAGAGUUUUAGAAUUGUUCCUCCUUUCAGAAAUUAGGGAAUUAAAAUCCAGAGAGGUUGAGUCACUUGUCCUAGGUCACACAGCUAGUUAAUGGCUGGUCCAGGAUUAAAUGCCUAUCUGGAGCUCUUUCCCCUACACUAAACUUUUUUUUGAAACUCGUGUAAAAUGGGCAUAAGUAAUCUGCACGUAUUGACAGUAUUAGAGGCACCUUGCAUGAACAAUGAUGCAUAGAAAUAUAUCUGCAGUGUAUCAAUAAUUUGACUUAAUAAACAUUCUUGUACUUGUUCUAAUGAACACCAAAAUUUAAUUUAAAAAAUUUCUUGCCUUCUUGGAAUUUAGCAGGAUUUCUUUUUCAUGUAUUUUUUUUUACUUAGGUUUUUAUUCCACUUGAUGUGAAAGAUCAAUUUUAUUUUUUUCAGACAGAAAGCCUUUUUAAAAAAUAUUUUUUAUAGAGUGAAAUGCACAAAUCUUAAGUGAACAGCUUGAUGAAUUUUUUUAUGUAUGUAUAUACCCACGUAUGGCUUUCAUUUUUACACAGCUCUUAAAUACUACCAGAUACACAAGCAUAUCCUCAAGGUUUUGUUUGUUCAUUUGAGAAAUACUAGUUCUAAGAGAUGAUAAAACAAGUUUCACUUUUGAAAGAAGGGGAGGGGAGGGAAAAAAAGAAACUUUCUAUGGUCAGAUAAAUUGAGAAAUACUUUUCUUAGUUUUCUUAGUUUUAUUUUCUUAGUUUUAGGGCUCCUCGGAGCUUUAAAUAUACAAAUAUAGAUUGUAUGGAUUCAGUGUGAGGAUGAUAUCAUGUAGCAUUUUCAAGAUUUACUUGAUUACUGAGCCAUUUUUCCAGUUUCUACUGUCUGUAUUCUUUUUUCAUUUAUCAUUCAUUGUAUCACAAAUAGUAUUUCACAAUAGUAUUUCAUCAGGGGGAAACUCCAGAGUUUACUUCAUUGUAAUCCUAUUAUUGGACACACGUUCUUAAUCAAUUCUGCUAUCAUAAAUGAACAAAACUUUUUCCACAUGAAUAUUUUCUUUAGGAUGUCUUCUAUCAAGGCCAGCCGGGUUAGGGGACAUAUAAAUCCACAAUGGCUGGAGCUUUCUCCAUUUACUAAGCCAGACACCCUCAUCAUCUAGGUUAGCGUAGUGCCUGCUGUACAGAAGAAACUCAGUGUCUGCUGAGGGAAUAAGUGAAUGUCUGUUUCAUGAUCAGUUUCGCACUCAUCUUUGUGAAUAUUAUAAGAGGAAAAUGGUAAUAACUUUUUUGCAUUGAGUACCCCUUUGAUUACUAGAGAGGCUGCACAUUUUCUCAUGCUUCUCUACUAAUUACAAAUCCACUUUUGAGAAUAGUCAGUUCAUUUCCUUUAUUUAUCUAUUAAGGUGUUAGUGUUUUGCUUCCCAAUUUGCAUGGCCUCUUUAUAUAAUUGUACAUUUCAUGCAAAACAAUAUUCUUGAUAGAGUUUUCUAUUUAAUGUUUGUUUUUUCAAGUACAGAAAAUUAAUUAGCAAGGUUUUGAGGGAUGAUUUUGAUGGCUCUUACUUCUUUAAAAAGCUAUCUAAGGAAGCUUAAUCAGUGACUUCACUUUUUUCCCCAAAUCAUUCCAACCAUUAUUUUAAAAGUUAGUUACAGCCAAAUUCUAUCUUUUUUGUGCGUGCUGAGGAAGUUUCACCCUGAGCUAACAUCUGUGCCAAUCUUCCUCUAUUUUGUAUGUGGGUCACUGCCACAGCAUGGCCACUGCCAAGUGGUGUAGGUCAACACUCGGGAACCAAACUCAGGCCACUGAAGCAGAGCAGGCUGAACUUAACCACUAGGCCAUGGGGCUGGCCCAACAAAUCCUACCUUUUGAAGCCAUCAUCAAAGGACUUUAAUUUUGUCAUCUUAAAAGUGAUAAGAGGUCAAAAACGAAGGAUAUUCAUGGAAAGGAAGGAAGCAUCACUUUGGAGAUUUGGGGUUUUGUUUAUUGGCUAUUGUAAAUCAUGCCCAAAUUUGUGGGGUGGGGCUUUUUAACCACCCAGAACAGGAGCUCAAACUUGGCUGCUCAUUAGAACCACCUGGGGAGUUUUUAAAAAUCCCAAGGCUCAGGCUGCCCCAGACUAAUGACAUCAGAGUCUCUAGGGGUGGGAUCAAUAUUUUUUGAAGCUCUCCAGGCCUCUGAUGCGCAGCCAAGGUAGAGAACCACUGGCCUAGGAGCAUUUGUCAGACUUUACUGUCCAUAGGAGGCACCUGGGGAUCUUGUUAAACUGCAGAUUUUGACUCAGGAGGUCUGUGCCGGGCAUGAGGUUGUGCAUUGCUAGAAAGCCCCCAAAGGAUGCUGUUGUUGUUGGUUCAUGGACCACACUUUGAGAAUCAAGGGUCUAGAGCAGUGGUUCUCAAUGAGGGGUGGGGUGGGUAUUUUACCCCCUCAGUGGACAUUUGGCAAUACGUGGAGACAUUUUUGGUUAUUACAACCAAGAGGAGGAGGUGCCACUGGCAUCUGAUGGGUAGAGGCCAGGAAUGCUCUAGGCAUCCUACAGUGCCCAGGACAGCCCCCACCCCAAAGAGUUAUCUAGCCCAAACGUCAGUAGUGCUGAGGUUGAGAAAUACUCAGUGAAAGAAAUGUACCAUGAAAGAAAAUUAUCCUAAACCUGAGCUGGGACAGCUGUGUGCUCUGGUGUGAUGGGUGGUCCCUUCUGGGAAGCAUUUCUGAUAAAACAUGAGUGAUUUUCUGAUCAACUUUAAUGAGAUUAAGAGCCCCUUCUGGGAAAUUAGAUUUACCUGCCUCGCUAAAUUAGCCUUGUAACAGAGUUUAAUGACCACUUGUACCUGGUCUAACAAUGUUAGCUAACCACAUUUUUUCCUAUUCCAAGUUUUUGAACUGGCUUUUCGAAGCCUCUUUAAGCAACUUUGAAACAAAGCUUUGACAUGUGCUUGCAGUCAGUUCAUCAGAGAAAUUGCUUUAGCACCCUUUGCCUUGCCGGCCUCCAAGUGUCUCCCAAGUGGGACCCUGUCUAUACAUUCAGCUGUUUACAGAGUGCCUGCUGUGGAGACGUUUUAGCACAGACAGCCUUCAGAUCCCAGCUCUCCUUCUUCCUAGCUGUGUCACCUUGGGCAAGUGUUCUUCUGAAGGACAGGAAAAUAAUAGUAUCAAGCUCACAGGAUUGCUGUGAUGAUAAUAUAUUAAAGAAUUUAGCAGAAUGCCUCCCACAUAGUAGAUGCUCAAUAAAUGUGCACUAUUACUAUUAUUCUGAGACAAAGACCCACAAAAAGCUUAUAAGUUGACACAUCCCUGCCUCCCACUCUGCCUUCCAAGCAAGAUUCAGUCUUUGUCAUCUUGGCUUCAAACUCUUUGUGGUGCCGCUGGUUGGUGGAAGUCUAAAUGGAUUGAGAGAAGAAUUGAAAGGAGUGAAUUGAGUGGAAAUUACAGAAAAAAAGAAAGGCUGGGGCAAUCAGUGCUUAACUAGAUUUGGGAGAAAGAAUGGAGAGAUUUGGGGUAAGAAGUCCGUAGGAUGAAGGAAUCUUGGGCUGAUAAUGAAUCAAGAGAAUUUUUAGGUAGUUUUAUGUGUGUUUUACAAUGUAAGUCUCUCUUAAGUAAAGAUUUGCAUUCCUUUUUGAGGCCAUGUUUGGUGAUUGAUUUAUGUUUCUUUUGGAUGAAGUUCUGUGCUCAAAUGGUCUUAAAGAUGGAAACCAGACUCUGGUUUUAUUUUGGUUACAUUAUAUGCCACAAAAUGUAUUAGGAGCUAUGGAUACACUAGCAGACAAGUUAUCCCCCUUCAUGGAACUCAACAUCUAGAAGGAAAGUCGGACAAUAAAAUAAGUGAUGGCAAUCCACUCCUCCCUUGUGAUGGGUGCUGCUGUGAUGGAACAAACACAGGAAGCUGAGGAUGUUCUAUCCAGUUUAAGGGGCUAUAAAGAGGCUUUUCAGAAAUAGUAUUUAAACUGAGGCCUGAAUGAUGGGUAGGAGUUAGUCAGCUAAUGGGUAGAGGAGGAGAGAGAGAUUGGAGAAGAAUAUUCUGAGCGUAUGUAAAGGCCUAGAGUUAGUAUGACACCUCCAUGAACUGAGAGAAGUUCACUAGGGUUGGAGCAAGGAAUUCCCUGGGUGGGCAGAAAUGCAAGAUGGGAAAAACCUGGUGAGUCUGAGCCAGCUAAUGCAGGCCCUAAGGGUAAUGGGGAGCCACUGAAGGAUGUUUAGCAGGGCAGUGACAUUAUCACUCUUGUAUUUUUUCUUUUUUUAGAAAGAUCUAUUAACUGCAGGGCUCUGGCAACUGAAAACAAGCAAGAGAAGGCUUUAAGGAGUGAAGUGCACAGAUCACUUUGACAGCUGUGGACCAUUAAUGCUCCAAUUGUUCAGAGAGGUCACCUGUGUGACAGCAACAAGAAUGGCAGAUGAAUGGAGUUUACAAAGCUUCUUUCAAGGUGGAGAGAGGGGUCAAACAUAUCAGAAACUCAUAGCACUUGUCCAAGGGCUCUUGCCUGAGGAUGAGAAAGGCGGUCCCUCACCAUUAGCAAAGGCCCAGGGGCUCCUGACUGAAGCACUUCAGCUCCAGAUCUCAGACUUCUGUCAAGGACUUAGGAAAAUUCCCACGGGCCUCACAAACGUUACUUGGAGAACUAAAUACUAGACAAAUCACAAGUGACCACAGGCUACCGGGCAGGCAGUGAGAACUCAUCCUGAGCACUCACCUGUCAAUUCGCAGUAUUUUGUGGGCUAGGAAGAAUCUGAGCUUACAGAAAAUAGAAAUGGACAGUCUCUCCAAUCCCAUGGCUUGAUUUAUUGAACAGGCGAAAUAAGCCUUGGGAGGGAAAGAGAUCCGUUCCUAACGAGUUAACCAUUAAUAAAGCCCUGCUAUAAAUGGAACUCAGGAGAGAGGGUAGCUUGUCAGAGGGCAAAGGAGUGGGCCCCAUUAGACAAAAUAGGUCAGGCAAGGAGAAAGCCCUCAUGUCUCCUGACUAGUUAUGUUGAUCAGCGAUGACAGCCCUUGUUUUUUAACUGAUUGAAAAGGGAUAGAGAAUAUACAAGAAGUUUCUUUCUUGUUGUUGCCUUUCUUAGAAGAUGGCUGUUUCAAAGAGGAUCCUGAAAAGAACUGAAAAUAUUUAUCACAGUUUUGAGUUUUGUGCUAAAAAAUCUGUGUGUGGGUGUGUGUGCGUGUGUUUGUGUGUGUGUCUUCAGAAACAUACAUUUUUACAGAAAAAAGUUCUGUGCUGCUCCUAAGGAGUCCCUGCGGCUGGAUUACUGUCUUUCAUCUGGGAUUAGUGACACAGCAACUCCUGGGGAGGGUGGCCCUUCCAUUGGUUUGAUUUUUGGUGAUACUCUCUGCUUUUUUCCUGUUGUUCUUGUUUUCACCCUCAGAAAUCAAGAGAGCAGGAAAACCAUCAUAAUAUGAGAACGAGCCGAGGAGAGAGAGCAGUGUGCAAAAGCUAACAUUUAUCCAUCAAACACUAGAUUUUUAGUUGACUUUGGGAUUUGCCCUCCCUAAGAGGUUCUGCCUUCUUCCCCCUCUUCCCUUCUUCCUCCUCCCUAAUGACUCGAGGAAGUGAAGAAAAACCUUUCCGGAGUGCUCAGAGCAUGCACUUUGCUUAUAUGUUGGCUGGUUUCUAAAGGUUUUUGCUGUUAAAAACAUCAGGGAAACUGGCUUCACAUUUGGAAAUAAUCUUUCUAAUUUCCCCAAAGGUAAACAACAUUUUGUGUUUUAAAUACAUAUAAGAAAUUGUGGGUGGUGAGGAUCAGUGGGGUUGAAAGAAAAGCAAAGACUUGGUAAAUGUUAAGGCUGUGUGACUUUGGGCAAAUCUCACUUUUCUGGACCUCAGUUUUCUCUUUGGUAAAAAAAGAGGAGUAGACUGCUGUUGUAGGCAUCCUCCCAGAUGGUCCCCAGUGAGUCCUGCCUCCUGGUAUUCAUACCCUUGUAUAGUCCCCUCCAACACCGAAUAGGGCUGACUUGAGUAAUCAAUAGCAUAUUACAGAAAUGAUGGAGUGUGACUUCCAAGGCUAGGUCAUAAAAGCCAUUGUGGCUUCCGCCUUGCUCUCUCUUGGAUCAUUGGCUCUGGGGAAGCCAGCUGCCAUGUUGUGAGGGCACUCAAGCAAUCCAAUGGCGAGGUCCACAUGGGAAGGCACCAAGGCCUCCUGAUAAGAGUCAUCACCAACUAGCAAGUAGCAUGAGUGCACCAUCUUGAAAGUGGAUCUUCCAAUCUUAGUCAAGCCUUUAGAUUACCGCAGUCUCAGCUGACAUCUUGACUGCAAACUCAUGAGGGACCCAGGCCAGAACCACCCAGCUGAGCCACUUCUGAAUUCCUGACCCAUAAAAACUCUGAGAUAAUAUUUAUUAUUGUUUUAAGCUGCUAGGUUUGGGGUAAUUUGUUACACAGCAACAUAUAACUACUAUAGCUGCCUUAGACCAAGUCCAGCUCUUAUGUUUUAUGUGUCAAUAAAUAGGUGUUAUUGGAAUCACGAAACACUGGCAUUUCUGUUAUGUCAAAAACCAGAUCCUAGCUGCAGGGUAGGACCACAUUGCUCUCAGCAUUUCUGAAAUGGUGACUAGCCAGACUCUAGAGACCUGACAUCCUGAGAACUCAUGGAUUCAACUUUGUGGGAGCAGGCCAACAUAGCUGGCUGACCUUGAACCAAAGUUUACAAUGCAACAGUUCAGCACCCAGCAAUUAGUCCUUAGCACAUCAUACUGAAAACAUAAUCUACUUGUGUUUACACCCAGAGACUGAACUUGUUAAAAGAAACUCCAGUGGACUGGGCACUUGGACUCUCCUCUUAAUGAAUUGCUCCAAAGGGUGCAACUGGGAUUAUUUGGAGGGAACAGCAGCACUGGCAGUUUUUAGAGUGAGAUGAAUUGGCAUAGGGGUUAAAAAUUGCUGAGUUCAUGGUUAAACCCAAGUGACUCUCCAGGGUUGUGGACAUAACAGGAAAGCAGGGAGUAUAGAGAGGACCUACUGGGUUGGGUCUUAGUUGAACUAAGUGACACUGAUGGUCCCCUGACCUAUGAGAAUAUGACUCUACAUAUUGCUGGCUAGAGACAUGUCAUGACACUGACAAGGCACAGCACACUCACUAGUGGGGACCAGAGUGUCUACAGCUCCUUCUAAGCCCAAUACGGCUAUUGUUCUGGACUCACACGGCAGUCUAGAUAACUCAGUAUCUCUUCCCCAUGUCCUAUCCUAAACGGAGGCUGUGGCUCACCACCGGAUCACCCUAUGAAUAAGUGUACAUCUAUGCUGCAUGGCUUUCCAAGAAUGCUUGGCUGUUUUCCACAUUUAGAGACUCUGAUCCCAAUGACCUUGACAUUCAACCAAAGAAACACUUUUCCAAGCAAGAAGGAUUUUAGUCUGAUUUGUCCAAGGAGGAUAUGAGAAACAUCCUCUCAGUCCUUCUGACCCAAGCUGCACAUUAGACUCACCUGAGGGUCUUGCUAAACAUACUCCUCCCUCAAAGAAUUAAUUGGUCAGGCAAGUCCAGGUGAUCCUAGUGUGCACUCAGGAUUGAGGACCAUGGGUCCAACUGUAUCCAGCAAUUUGCUGCUGCCUGACUCCAGGACUAAGAUAACUAGAAUAAAAGUAAAUGAUUCUCACUCAAAACCCAAGGCUGGACAACUCAGUUGUUCAGAAACUGGCUUCAGUUCUUAUGUCAUAAUAUUUGAGAAAAGCUAUACAACUGCCCCUCAAUUAGUCAAGUAGCUGUGAUCUGGUCCUGUCUUGUAGUGGACUUGAAAAGUGUUCGCAUUUAGAACCUCCGUUGUUUUUUACUUCUACUACUUGGACAUCCAUAACAGUAUGUUUGAAUGAAGACUAUCAAACCUGGCUUUCUGGUCUCUGCAUAUAUUUGAAACUUGACAGGGCCUUCCUUAGAAAUAUUUCUAUAGAUAUUGGAAAAAUGAAUCUUCUUCUUUCUUCCCAAUCAUUGCAUCCAGGGAUCUCCUUGUAUUAUGUCUUACAGCUGCAUGUGAA
rnacentral:lncRNA from 1 species